GAGCUUGCCGGCCUCGUCCAGGACGACG
rnacentral:sRNA from 1 species